GGUCGUUUUUCUUCUUUUAAAUAUAGUCUCCUCCUUUACUGUGUUGAUUCCCUUUAUAUAUUUAAAUGUUUCUAUCAUAUCCCCCCGUCUCGUCUUUCCUCCAAGCUAUACAUGUUAAGAUCCUUUAACCUUUCCUGGUAAGUUUUAUCCUGCAAUUCAUGAACCAGUUUAGUAGCCCUUCUCUGAACUCUCUCUAAAGUAUUAAUAUCCUUCUGGAGAUACGGUCUCCAGUACUGUGUAAAAUACUCCAAGUGAGGUCUCAC